rnacentral:sRNA from 1 species
UUUUAUUACUUGUGAGUUGUAGAUUUUUCUUAUGCGGUGAAUCCCCCUUUGCGGCGGGGCGUCCAGUCAAAUAGUUAAUGUUCCUCGCGAACCAUAUUGACUGUGGUAUGGUUCACCGGGAGGCACCCGGCACCGCAAUUUUUUCUGAGACUAAAAUUCACACCCUAUGGUUCAGAGCGGUGUCUUUUUACAU